CGGACGGGUGAGUAACGCGUGAGGAACCUGCCUCAAAGAGGGGGACAACAGUUGGAAACGACUGCUAAUACCGCAUAAGCCCACGGGUCGGCAUCGACCUGAGGGAAGAGGAGCAAUCCGCUUUGAGAUGGCCUCGCGCCCGAUUAGCUAGUUGGUGAGGUAACGGCCCACCAAGGCGACGAUCGGUAGCCGGACUGAGAGGUUGAACGGCCACAUUGGGACUGAGACACGGCCCAG
rnacentral:rRNA from 1 species